AUUGAACGCUGGCGGCAGGCCUAACACAUGCAAGUCGAGCGGAGCGGCGGACGGGUGAGUAAUGUCUGGGAAACUGCCUGGUAGUGGGGGAUAACGUCCGGAAACGGGCGCUAAUACCGCAUACUAUCAGAUGAGCCUAGGUCGGAUUAGCUAGUUGGUGGGGAAAAGGCCUACCAAGGCGACGCACCGUAACUGGUCUGAGAGGAUGAUCAGUCACACUGGAACUUAGACACGGUCCAGGAUCCUCAGGCAGGCAGCAGUGGGGAAGAUUGGACAAUGGGCGAAAGCCUGAUCCAGCCAUGCCGCGUGUGUGAAGAAGGUCUUCGGAUUGUAAAACAAUUUAAGUUGGGAGGCGUUACCAACAGAAUAAGCACCGGCUAACUUCGUGCCAGCAGCCGCGGUAAUAC
rnacentral:rRNA from 1 species